rnacentral:rRNA from 1 species
ACACUAUCAUUAACUGAAUCCAUAGGUUAAUGAGGCGAACCGGGGGAACUGAAACAUCUAAGUACCCCGAGGAAAAGAAAUCAACCGAGAUUCCCCCAGUAGCGGCGAGCGAACGGGGAGCAGCCCAGAGCCUGAAUCAGUGUGUGUGUUAGUGGAAGCGUCUGGAAAGGCGCGCGAUACAGGGUGACAGCCCCGUACACAAAAAUGCACAUACUGUGAGCUCGAUGAGUAGGGCGGGACACGUGGUAUCCUGUCUGAAUAUGGGGGGACCAUCCUCCAAGGCUAAAUACUCCUGACUGACCGAUAGUGAACCAGUACCGUGAGGGAAAGGCGAAAAGAACCCCGGCGAGGGGAGUGAAAAAGAACCUGAAACCGUGUACGUACAAGCAGUGGGAGCACGCUUAGGCGUGUGACUGCGUACCUUUUGUAUAAUGGGUCAGCGACUUAUAUUCUGUAGCAAGGUUAACCGAAUAGGGGAGCCGAAGGGAAACCGAGUCUUAACUGGGCGUUAAGUUGCAGGGUAUAGACCCGAAACCCGGUGAUCUAGCCAUGGGCAGGUUGAAGGUUGGGUAACACUAACUGGAGGACCGAACCGACUAAUGUUGAAAAAUUAGCGGAUGACUUGUGGCUGGGGGUGAAAGGCCAAUCAAACCGGGAGAUAGCUGGUUCUCCCCGAAAGCUAUUUAGGUAGCGCCUCGUGAAUUCAUCUCCGGGGGUAGAGCACUGUUUCGGCAAGGGGGUCAUCCCGACUUACCAACCCGAUGCAAACUGCGAAUACCGGAGAAUGUUAUCACGGGAGACACACGGCGGGUGCUAACGUCCGUCGUGAAGAGGGAAACAACCCAGACCGCCAGCUAAGGUCCCAAAGUCAUGGUUAAGUGGGAAACGAUGUGGGAAGGCCCAGACAGCCAGGAUGUUGGCUUAGAAGCAGCCAUCAUUUAAAGAAAGCGUAAUAGCUCACUGGUCGAGUCGGCCUGCGCGGAAGAUGUAACGGGGCUAAACCAUGCACCGAAGCUGCGGCAGCGACGCUGAUGCGUUGUUGGGUA